ensembl:lncRNA
AUGCAUUGUGACAUGUGGUGGAAGCUCCUUCCUUGGAGGCCAUCUGUCAGGGGUGCUUUGAUUGUGCUAUUCCUGCAUGGCAGAAGGGGGUUGGACUAUAUGGCCCAUGUGGUCUCUUCCAACUCUAUGAUUCUAUUAUUAUUAUUAUUAGUAGUAGUAGUAGUAGUAGUAGUAGUAGUAGUAUUAAACAGGGGCUGGAUGGCCAUCUGUCGGGGAUGCUUUGAUUGUGCUUUUCCUGCAUGGCAGAAGGGGGUUGGACUAGAUGGCCCAUGUGGUCUCUUUCAACUCUAUGAUUCUAUUAUUAUUAUUAUUCGUAGUAGUAGUACUAGUAGUGAUAUUAAAAAGGGGCUGGAUGGCCAUCUGUUGGGGAUGCUUUGAUUGUGCUUUUCCUGCGGGGGUUGAACUAGAUGGCCCAUGGCCCAUGUGGUCUCUUCCAACUCUAUGAUUCUAUUAUUAUUAUUAUUAUUAUUAGUAGUAGUAGUAGUAGUAGUAGUAGUAGUAGUAUUAAACAGGGGCUGGAUGGCCAUCUGUCGGGGAUGCUUUGAUGCAUGGCAGUAGGGGGUGGGACUAGAUGUUCCUUGACAUCUCUUCCAAUUCUAUGAUUUUAUGAUGAUGAUGUUAAUUAUUAUUAUUAUUAAGCAGGGUCUGGAUGGCCAUCUGUAGGGAGUGCUUUGUGUUUUUCCUGCAUAAUGGCAGAAGGUGGUUGGACUAGAUGGCCCAUGAACGUCGCUAUGGCAAGUUUGUUUUCCAAAGCCUUUUCCAAGGUGUAUUUAGUAUCUUCCUUUAAUUGACAUUCUUUAUUUAUUCUUAUGCUUAUUCUUUAUUUUUAUUCUUGAGCUUAAUAAAAGGGAAGUGAAAAAAAAUCUAGGAUGGGCACAACCUGUACAGCAUUUCUUUUUAACUCUUUGGUCUAUUUCAGGCAAUUAUCCUUUGCGGAAAUGACAUCAAGAUACAACCUGACCACCCACACACACACAUAUACGCAUGGCUUGUUGCCCAGUGUAUAUAACGGUGCCAUUUUAAUUACUGAAUCAAAUGCUUAUCUCACGAAUUACUUCGGGUUAAAGUCCACAGUAAAUGAAUUGUGGACUUUAAUACGAGUUGUCAUCAUAAAACCGCAUGUCUCUCUUGUACUAAUAAUAUCCAGAAUGAUAUAACUGAAUGAUAUAACUCUUUCCUACUAGUUGCUGGAGCCAUUCGUAUUGUAAAAUGAUCACUAAUGAUGGAAUUCUGUUUUAUUUCUUCCUCCUCGCCCGAUCCUAAAUCGAUGAGUCACACUGAGAUAAAGAAAAAAGAAGAAAUGCACAUUAUCAUAUACUUGCAUCAGAGCUUUGUGGAUGUUUAUUCAGAGGUUCAGAUUCGGGUCUGGGAAGGGAUUGUCAAUGAGGCCCUCUUGUCCCCGUCAUGCAAAUCCUAAUCAUGCCACUACUUUUUAAUCUACUGAGGGCUGUUGAUGAUGCUGCAGGGAAAAGAAAAGAAAGCCCUGCCGCUGUUCUCUUGCAUCCCAAACUCCAGCCUUGCUAAUUGCUACUGUCUCCCACUCAUUUGUCAUUAGGGCUUCAAAGGAAAACAAAGGAGUUUGCAAUUUGCUUUCUUCUGGCAAAUGAACAGCACACUUUGGGCGCCUUUCUUGCUGUUUGGAGGUGAUGUCUUGCAACAGGAGUUAAGAGGGUUGAAAGCGACACAAAAGGUUUACACACCUGCCAAGUGUCAGACCUGUCUGUCACUUAUUGUUCAGAACAGGCCUGGGCAAACUUGGGCGCUCCCUCCAGGUGUUUUGGAUUGCAACUCCCAUAAUUCCUAUUACCGCUCAACCCAAAUAACACAAAAUAAAUAAACCACUCAACCCAAAAUUAAGGGGCAUGCAUAUUCCCUAUUUUAAGACCAUUUUCAUUCCCAUCAACCUGCAAAUUAAGCCCAUGGCCAAAUAAAUACAAAACCAUACAGAGAAGGGAUUCCCCGAAAUGCAAAAGGCAAGAGGCCACUAUAACCAGAAAUGUAAUCUAAUAAUAUAAACUAAAAGACAAUAUUUCCUAUAUAUGCUACUAGCUGUGCCCAGCCACGCGUUGCUGUGGCGAAGUAUGGUGGUAUGGGAAAUAAAGUAUUGAGGAAUUGGCGGUAGUUAAGAUAAAGGGUAAAGGUUUUACCUUACAUUAAGUCCAUUAUAAAUGGGUUAUAUAGCUGAGUGGAAGGGCCUUGAGUCUACACUGCCAUAUAAUCCAGUUAAAAUCAGAUAAUCUGUAUUUUAUAGGCAGUGUGGAGUGAGGCCUAACUCUGCCUGUCCCCUGGGCUGAGUGGGUUGCUAGGAGACCAAGUGGGUCUCCUUCUAACUGGCAGCAAUUGGAUAAAAACAAUUAUUCCUCUCCCUCUAAUUAGAACUUUAUUUUUCUUUUCUUUUUGUUGUAUGAACAUAGAGGCAUGGAUGAGCGGCGUGCUGCAAGUAGCAUAAAGGAUGUGUAGGUGGCAGGCGAAAUUACAGAACAAUGAAAGG